UUUGGAUAUAAAAUUUAACUUGAGUAGUAUUAGUUAUGGUCUUGAAACUUAAAGAAUUUGGCGGUAUUUUAGUCUAUUUAGAGGAAUCUGUCCCGUUAUCGAUAAUCCACGUUGGACCUUACUUAAUUUUAUAAUAUGUAUACCGCCGUUUAUUUGAAAAUCUUAUUAGGGAAAUUUUCUUAAUAUUUUAAUUUAUAAUAUUUCAGGUCAAGGUGCAGUAUAUAAUUAAGUGGAGAUGGAUUACAAUAAUAUAUUAUACGAAUUAUAAAUUGUAAUAAUUUAUAUGAAGGUGGAUUUAAGGGUAAUAUUUAAUAAGAUUAUUAUUAUGAUUUUAGCUCUAGAGUGUGU
rnacentral:rRNA from 1 species